CAUUGAUCUAAAUUUCUUACAUCGUGAGAGUCCUGCAACUCAUCUACAAGCAUAUUUCUUCUUCGAGAGGGAACCUUCUGUCUGCUUUCGAAGUUUACACGCAGUUGAAUAAUGGUGGAAGAAAACAAGACCAUUUCUUCCUUGGAAAUUAAUGGAGAUGUGAAACUAUGUCCAACCAAAACGCGUUGUCUCCCCCAUAUGCAGGAAAGCAGCCGCUUUUUAUGAACAUUCCUUGAAAUGAAAGUGUUGUUGUUUCAAACACUCCACCUGCUUCAUCCAUGCCUAUUUAAGCAACAUAAACAACCCUCACCAAGCCUAUAUUACACCUCAUCUCAUUUCAUUUCCUCCAUUCUCUGCUUCCAACAUUUCUUCACAUCUUUGGUUUUGAAAUGAAUCAUCAUAACCAAAAACAAGCUCCAGGUAAAUUCUAUUAUACCCUUUCUUGAAAUUUAUUCUCUGCUUUUAAUAUGUGCUCUGCCAGCAAAAUAUAUUGAUGGGUUGCUAUUGAUUUUUGUAUAGUGGUAUAUCCUCCACCACCCACUUCAUAUCCACCAAGUGAGGUCCAAGGCCGCCAUCAAGGUCCUUUUGUUGCUCCACCUCCUGUUGGUUACCCUAUGAAAAAUGGUCCUGGACAUCCAGAACAGACUCCUCCCGCCCCAUCAAAGACUCAGCAUAGGGGAGGAUUUGGCAGAGGAUGGUAAUUAUUAGUUCUAUUUGUCUUUCUUUCUUAAUAUAAUUAAGUUAAAAAAAUCAAUAAUGCAUUACCUAAAUGUCCUUUUCCUCUGUGACACAUGCAGUUGUGCUGGGUUAUGUUGCUGCUGCCUCCUGGAUAUAUGCUUUUGAUGAGGACUGAUUCUUCAUAGUAUUUGUAGCUCCACAACUCUCUUCUAGUGGUUGUGGGAGAUUCUCAUUGUUUAUUGUUUUUGUUUUUGUGAUUUAUUAUUUUGAUUCUUUUCAUAAUAAUAAUAACAAUACGAAUUUUAUGCUAUGUUUCUCUCACGAUUUCUACUUCUCCUUAAACAUUACACGGUGGCCUUAAUUAGCUCAAGAAAUUCAUAUGGAUUUAGUAAAAUCUCAAGUAUAUUCCAUUGCUGAUAAGAGGCUACACCCCAACAAGUGAAUAUUGUUUAUUUGUGAUUCAAUUCAUUAUGCUAAUGAAAUGCAGUAGGCCGAAAUGAGAAGAGCUCAA
rnacentral:misc_RNA from 1 species